GGUGGAGCAGAUAGAGAUAGGAUAGAGAUAGGGGAGAGAGAGGCGGGGUGGGGAGAGAGAGAGGGCGAGCAGAGAGGGAGAGGGAGGACGCUCGUCGAUGCCACCGGUUAAGGCCGCUCGAGGCCGCCCUAAGCUGUUGCGGACGGGAUGUCAGCUCGCGGCGGGCUGGGGCGGAGGGAACUUGUGGCUCGAGGAGACACGGGGCGGGCGCAGGGACGCAGCGGCGGCGGCGGGGUGCGACGGAGCGCGGGCCUAGGACGACGCCCUCCAGGUCGGUGAGACCUAGGCCGGAGGAGGAGCGGCCUCACUGCGGGGAGCGGCUUCGUCGCGGCCGGUUCGGGUAGCCGGUGGUCUAAUGUCUCUCCUUUUACCGAGGUACGGUACCACAGCGACGACAAAUUUUAACGAGGUCUAAAGAACUUGUACUCCUCUACUACAGGCGGUUACUGAGCAUCUGACCCCCACCCGACUUCGAGGUUCGAACGACCGACCAUAAUGGUAAUGUAAUUGAAAGGAGAAUGAGUGUAGAUCAUGAGAUGAUCUGUUGUCUUUUUAUCUCAGGGUAUGUCCGAUACGGUCACAUAUCAACCUUUCGACAAAGACACAUCAACCAUGACAUACAACCAUGACAAACCCUUUGUAGCAGAAGGAGGCUACGGCGGUCGAACGAUCUAGGUAGCAGAAAAAAAAAAAAAACCUUUCGACAAAGACACAUCAACCAUGACAUACAAGGUCACCUAUCCCAAACCGGCCAAACAUGAUAACUCUUCUCGUCCCGUCUAAAUCGUGCCGAUUAAUCAAAGUGUUUUACGGAAGAAUACGUUGUCUUUUACGGAAGAACACGUUGUGUUUAAGAAAUGAUUAGAGAAUUCUUGUUUUAAGAAAUCCCAUCAGACACAAAAUGGGUGUUUUCUUUUUCACACAAUACAUUCUCCGCUUGGGACACCAUUGACAGACAUUGCCCGGUCGUAGCAAACUUGUCUAUUUUACCACAUUGUGAUGUAUUGAGCAACAGUCUAGAUCACAGUUCUUGCGAGAAUAUAAUACCCUACCUCCCUCAUCAACAGUCUAGAAGAAAAGCAAAUCAUGAACAACUCCGACAGUAUUAAAAGAAAAUGAGCUUUAAGACGAACCUAAAAGAUUAAUACGUAAAUGGUUCUAAUUACGAAUUUUGAUUUCAACCAGUAACCUAGAAAAAACCAAUCCGCUUAAAAUACAAACAUGUACGAACUAUACUUUCCUCCCCAAAUAAAUUACUUGAUGUGUAUACCAAAGUGUAAGGUGGAGACACGAGCGUUAAAUUUACGUCAUAUAAAAUGAGUGAUUAUGUAGAACUUGUUAGAUUUUUUAUAUAUCGAACCAAAUAGAAACAUUGAAGAAUCGACUAAAAAGGUAAAAGGUGUAACAACACAGAUAAAAGAGUCAAACCAGGACACAUUUAUGAACAGAAUCCCCAGAGACAUAACGUAUAUGUGCCUUAGAAGUUAAACAGAGUUUACGAGUCACCAUUUUUGGUCGGUACGAGCGUCAAGAAUAGUCACACCACCAUACGAUUGACAAAGACUAUAUUAAGACGAGAUUUUCGGGAUGUGAUAAAAACAGACACCUAUGCGGCACGUAUGUUUACGACUCAAUUUUUCAGUAUUGAAAUGUGAUUAAAUUCUAACAGAAUAGAGUUCACGACCGAGGAUGUCGUAACGUAAAGUGGUUCACUUUACGAUGUAAAGAUGAGGAUUGGGUAAGAAAGAAAGAAUCACAAAAACAAUACGUCCAACCUUCUUUUCUUCUUCUAGCUCUCUUCUAGAAUCAUUAUUCUAUCAAAAAUCCUUUUAUCUAUAAAUCAAAAUUCAGUAAAGAACAUUAAAGUAUAUACCUCACGAAGAGAAAUCAAAAACAAAAAUGAAACACUUUGAACGAUGGAUACCUACUUUGAAACAUUAUAACUACUUUGAUACAUAUACAUACCUACUUUGAACGAUGAUAACCAUUGUACACAACCUAUAGGA
rnacentral:rRNA from 1 species